CUGCUCAGGACGAACGCUGGCGGCGUGCUUAACACAUGCAAGUCGAACGAUGAAGCCCAGCUUGCUGGGUGGAUUAGUGGCGAACGGGUGAGUAAUACGUGAGUAACCUGCCUUUAACUCUGGGAUAAGCCUUGGAAACGGGGUCUAAUACCGGAUACGACCAGUUCCCGCAUGGGAUGCUGGUGGAAAGGGAUUUUGUACUGGUUUUAGAUGGGCUCACGGCCUAUCAGCUUGUUGGUGAGGUAACGGCUCACCAAGGCGACGACGGGUAGCCGGCCUGAGAGGGUGACCGGCCACACUGGGACUGAGACACGGCCCAGACACAUACGGGAGGCAGCAGUGGGGAAUAUUGCACAAUGGGCGCAAGCCUGAUGCAGCGACGCCGCGUGAGGGAUGACGGCCUUCGGGUUGUAAACCUCUUUCAGCAGGGGAGAAGCGAAAGUGACGGUACCUGCAGAAGAAGCGCCGGCUAACUACGUGCCAGCAGCCGCGGUAAUACGUAGGGCGCGAGCGUUGUCCGGAAUUAUUGGGCGUAAAGAGCUUGUAGGCGGUUUGUCGCGUCUGCUGUGAAAAGCCCGGGGCUUAACCCCGGGUUUGCAGUGGGUACGGGGCAGACUAGAGUGCAGUAGGGGGAGACUGGAAUUCCUGGUGUAGCGGUGAAAUGCGCAGAUAUCAGGGAGGAACACCAAUGGCGAAGGCAGGUCUCUGGGCUGUAACUGACGCUGAGAAGCGAAAGCAUGGGGGAGCGAACAGGAUUAGAUACCCCUGGUAGUCCAUGCC
rnacentral:rRNA from 1 species